GGCCGCCUGGCGAAAUGGCAUCGCGUCUGACUACGAUCCAUCUUUCAACAUUAACCCUUAAUCAGGAGAUUGCAGGUUCGACCCCUGCGGUGGUCA